GUACCAGAGGAAAAAAAAAUUAAAAAAAUCUUCCCUUUGUUUCUGUGCCCACAGCUGUUGCAUUUGAGCAAAUCCUUGUUUGCAGGAGCUUGGGACUGUGCUACUUUGCUGUCAUUGCUGUGAUUUCUGUCAUAUUACAGCUGUUAGGAGAAGUAGUUCUAAUGUACUGAAGAAUGUUUCUUCGGUAUGUGCAAGGAACUAAGGGUUUAAAUGUUUAAAGCAUCAGACCAAAAUUCAGGGGUAAAGAUUUGGCUGCUCUCUUCUCUACAGACUUCCUCUGUGCCUUAGUGCUCUACUCAUGCAACAAGGAAGCAGCAUCCAUAGGUAUGUAGAGGUCCCUCUGGAUGCUUCCCUUCCCUCCGAUGCAUCGACUGCACCGCUCAGCUUGGUGCCAUCUGCAAACUUGCUGAGGCUGCACUCGAUGCCAUCAUCUGUCAUUGAUGAAGAUGUUGAAGAGCACCGGUCCCAGGACCAACCCCUGAAGGAUGUGCCUUAAUAAAUAAAAAGCUUCUAGGAGGAUCUACUCCUUGAUCUUCCCAGGCAC